rnacentral:rRNA from 1 species
UACGAAGGGGGCUAGCGUUGCUCGGAAUCACUGGGCGUAAAGCGCACGUAGGCGGAUUGCUAAGUCAGGGGUGAAAUCCCGGGGCUCAACCUCGGAACUGCCUUUGAUAACAGCACGUCUCGAGUCCGGAAGAGGUGGGUGGAAUUCCUAGUGUAGAGGUGAAAUUCGUAGAUAUUAGGAAGAACACCGGUGGCGAAGGCGGCCCACUGGUCCGGUACUGACGCUGAGGUGCGAAAGCGUGGGGAGCAAACAGGAUUGAGA